rnacentral:rRNA from 1 species
UACGUAGGGUGCAAGCGUUGUCCGGAAUUAUUGGGCGUAAAGAGCGUGUAGGCGGCCCGACCAGUCCGCUGUGAAAGUCCAGGGCUCAACCCUGGAAUGCCGGUGGAUACUGUCGGGCUAGAGUCCGGAAUGGGCGAGUGGAAUUCCUGGUGUAGCGGUGAAAUGCGCAGAUAUCAGGAGGAACACCGAUGGCGAAGGCAGGUCUCUGGGCCGAUACUGACGCUGAGGAGCGAAAGCGUGGGGAGCGAACAGG